CCUACGGGAGGCUGCAGUGGGGAAUAUUGCACAAUGGGGGAAACCCUGAUGCAGCGACGCCGCGUGAGUGAAGAAGUAUCUCGGUAUGUAAAGCUCUAUCAGUAGGGAAGAAAAAAGACGGUACCUGACUAAGAAGCCCCGGCUAACUACGUGCUAGCAGCCGCGGUAAUACGUAGGUGGCAAGCGUUACCCGGAUUUACUGGGUGUAAAGGGAGCGUAGACGGCGCGGCAAGUCUGAAGUGAAAGGCAGGGGCUUAACCCCUGAACUGCAUUGGAAACUGCCAUGCUAGAGUGCUGGAGAGGUAAGUGGAAGUCCUGGUGUAGCAGUGAAAUGCGUAGAUAUUGGGAGGAACACCAGUGGCGAAGGCGGGUUACUGGACAGUAACUGACGUUGAGGCUCGAAGGCGUGGGGAGCGAACGGGAUUAGAUACCCUUGUAGUC
rnacentral:rRNA from 1 species